UACGGGGGGGGCAAGCGUUGUUCGGAAUUACUGGGCGUAAAGGGCUCGUAGGCGGCCAACUAAGUCGGAUGUGAAAUCCCCAGGCUUAACCUGGGAACUGCAUCCGAUACUGGAUGGCUUGAAUCCGGGAGAGGGAUGCGGAAUUCCAGGUGUAGCGGUGAAAUGCGUAGAUAUCGGGAGGAACACCUGUGGCGAAAGCGGCUCACUGGACCGCAACUGACGCUGAGGCGCGAAAGCUAGGGGAGCAAACAGG
rnacentral:rRNA from 1 species